AUAACGACUCUCGGCAACGGAUAUCUCGGCUCUCGCAUCGAUGAAKAACGUASCGAAAUGCGAUACUUGGUGUGAAUUGCAKAAUCCCGUGAACCAUCGAGUCUUUGAACGCAMGUUGCGCCCCAAGCCUUCUGGCYGAGGGCACGUCUGCCUGGG
rnacentral:rRNA from 1 species